rnacentral:misc_RNA from 1 species
UCCCCCGUGAGGGGGCAGUCUCGCCUGACUAAUAAAACAGGCAACGAGGGUUGCGUUCGUUACCCCACUGAAGGGAACAACUCAAGCCACGAACUGACGACGACCAUGCAUCACCUGCCCAGCCGCCUUGCGGAAGCUCUAGUUUCCUAGAGCGAUCGUCUGGGUUUCAAACCCUGGUGAGGUUCUUCGUUUGUCAUCGAAUUGAGCCGCAUCAUCCACCGCUUGUGCAAGUCCCCGUCUAUUCCUUUGAGUUUUAAUCUUGCGAUCGUACUACCCAGGCGCCUAACUUAACGCGUUAGCUUCGCCUCAGAGAGGGUCGAUACUCCCUAAAGCCAGUUAGGAUCGUUUAGGGCGUGGACUAC